AUUGAACGCUGGCGGAAUGCUUUACACAUGCAAGUCGAACGAGAACGGGAUAUAGCUUGCUAUAUUUGUCAGCUAAGUGGCGCACGGGUGAGUAAUGUAUAGAUAACCUGCCCUCUAGAAAGGAAUAACAGUUGGAAACGACUGCUAAUGCCCUAUAUGCCUUUAAUACAUAAGUAUGCAAGGGAAACGCUUUAGUGCUAGAGGAUGGGUCUGUAUGGUAUCAGCUUGUUGGUGAGGUAAUGGCUCACCAAGGCUAUGACGCCUAACUGGUUUGAGAGGAUGAUCAGUCACACUGGAACUGAGACACGGUCCAGACUCCUACGGGAGGCAGCAGUGGGGAAUAUUGCACAAUGGACGAAAGUCUGAUGCAGCAACGCUGCGUGGAGGAUGACACAUUUCGGUGCGUAAACUCCUUUUAUAUAGGAAGAUAAUGACGGUACUAUAUGAAUAAGCACCGGCUAACUCCGUGCCAGCCGCCGCGGUAA
rnacentral:rRNA from 1 species